ensembl:lncRNA
AACUUUAUAUAUAAAAAUGUUUUUUUUAUUUAUUAUAUUACAAUGAGAAAAUACACCAUACCGUCAAGUGUUUGCUUAAAAGUAUCGCCAGCACCAGGUACUUGUGUGUACACACAUCACAUACAAAAAAACCUAAUAUAAUAUUCUUCUGAAUGCUUAUUACAGAUCCACUAAAAAAGAACAUAUUCACAGGUCUCUGGCACAGAACUCACCCACAUCCACACUGUGUCAUCGACUUUACGACAGCGAAUCGGCCACUCCGAGCAGCCAUGGUGGAGCUGUCGUUUUUCAAGGGACACCCUAUUUCAGUGUUGGGGAGCUGCUCCACCUGCUAACGCCAACCCGAUGGAGGCUACAAGAAGGCUAAGAUCGUUGUGUGGAAGAAUUUCAUUCGAUUGCUGCGUGUAUUGCUUACCAUGGUUUAUGGAAAAAGAGAAGGUAAAACGUUGAUUCUUCGGAUUGGAAAGGGGGAAUGCUGCUGUCCUAAAUUCAUAUUUCUAUUGUUCAAAAAAUAUUUAUCUGGAAUCACAUCGGAAGCACUCCCUUUACCAUUCUGCAUGGGAGGUAUCGUAGGACAAAGUGACGAGUUUCUAAGCAGGUAUACGUUUUUACACAACAUCGUUAUGUUUUUCCUCCUCUCCCGUGUUCCUGGCACAAGGUCCUCUCAGCCUAGGUUCUUGAGCUUGUAAAAACCUUCAAACAGGUAAAUCUCUAGGCAACAGAAACAUGGCGAAAAAUAAAGAACAAAUAAAACAAUUUGAGGGGGGGUGUUGGGGGAGACUCUAAUGCAAAGUGAGUCUUAAUUAUUAUUAUUUUUUUUACCAAAUCUGAUCUUAGCUGUUUGGGUCUGUCAAUGUUGCUGACCAACAGUGGAUUUGCCCUAUCUGCCACAGUAGACCUUGAUUAUAGUCUCCUUUUUACAAAUAACUAAAACCAAGGUAAGGCAUGAGGGGUACUUAAGGACUAACAACAUCAAGAGAGCUGACAUUAUUCCAUAAAAGGCAACAGAGUGGAAUCUUCCUUUGAGUUUGAACAAUGCAUUGAACAAAUCCUAGGGCCAGUUUGUAACAUGGCACCAUCAGAAAAUAGUUGGCCUUUUCAUUGCAAAAAGAAAAGAUUUGUUCUAGUGUCAUCCCCACAUUGAGAAUUACUUGUCAUCUGCUCCCAAAUCUAGAAUACAUUUAGUAUUUUCAAGGCACAUCUUUAUCACAAACGUUCACAACCAAUGUGUAGAAGUCAUUCCCUCACACCCAUCCCAACAGACCCAAUGCUUUCUAAAUGUGUAGUUUGUGCAUUUUUGAUCGGAGGACACUGAAAGUAAUUGUCACAUGUGGUACACAUCUCAUACACUGAAUUAAAUUCCUUUGAUGCUCACUUCUAAUAGGCGGGUUCUGUGCAAGAGAAAAACAUGUCCAUGUCUUCUGUCCAUUUUCCUACGUUGUUCUCAAGACCAACACAAAAAAAGGCCAAAUUACAAUUCAAUGACAUAAUGUAAACUCUUGAUGAUUGAAAAGCUUUCUCAAGAACCUUUUUUUUGUGUGUGUUUGCCCUCCUGUGUCAAGAGUACAGAUAAAUACAUAAAAAAAAAAAAUGUUGGUCACCAAACACACAUCAGCGAGACGAAAGCACAAAACAAACCCAUAUGCUUUCCUUGGAAACCCUACCCAGCGAAUCUCUCGUCAGAAGCAAGAUAAGGUUGUAUCGCCCCGUCUCUUCAACCCUCCACGCUCAGCAGAGGACAGACACUGUGGCUGGUCGGGUCACUCGGAGGAGAGGAGGAGAACUCUGCAGCUGCCAUCGGUUGGAUAAUAGUAUCACUCCUCUCUCGGUGACUCCGCUUUGUUUUGUUUUUGCUGUUGUACGUCCAAAGAAUCACACCGUCGUUGACAUACAACCCAAGCAGCCGGAUCAGGACGAUGAAGAAAAAAAGAAGCAAAAACAACAAAAUAAUCACAACUUUCAAGAAAGUUUUUGUCUGCUUCCCCAUCGCUGGACCAUCGUGGAGGAGGGGGGGGGGGAGGGGUGACUGAAAGCUGCCAUGAGAGAUUACCAGUGUGGUCUUUUGUUACACAGAGGACUGCUAGAGCAGAGGCCAGAGGAGAGAAGGGGAUGGAGAUGGGGAGGGCUUUUUUGCACAUGCCCUUUGGUCAUGGAAAAAUCAUGUCACCCUCUUUGGCACAGGGAGGAGGGAUGGUGGGGGGGGCUGAAAUCGAAGCACUUGGCCCACCCCGCCGGGCGGAGGGGCACCGAAGAUGGGCAUGUGUGUCUUUCACUGGGUUGGUGGGAGAGUAUCAAGAGGUUUGACCUGAGAAUGGACCAGGCGGGGGGAGUGGGGGGGAAUAAGGACAACAGUCACCCAGGCUCACCAGGCCACAGGACAUGGACCGCAGGGAGGGAGGGAGAGGGGGGACUGUGUUUCCCCUCCCCCCUCCAUCAGCCUGACGUCCUGGCCCGCUCUCUCUCUCUCUCUCUCUCUCUCUCUCUCUCUCUCUCUCUCUCUCUCUCUCUCUCUCUCUCUCUCUCUCUCUCUCUCUCUCUCUCUCUCUCUCUCUCUCUCUCUCUCUCUCUCUCUCUCUCUCUCUCUCUCUCUCUCUCUCUCUCUCUCUCUCUCUCUCUCUCUCUCUCUCUCUAUAUAUUUAUAUAUAUAUAUAUACAUAUUCAUGUACGCUUUUUUGGCCUCAGCGUUUGUAUGGCUAAGAGAACUUAAGGGAAUUAGGAAAAUAGAAUAAUUUUUUUUUAGAAAUAUAGACUACAUGCUCAUCAUCCUCCUGUAUGUAGUAUUUU